ACGGAGAGAAUUGACUUUGUGUAUGGCAGUUAUACUAUGUCAACUAUAUUCAGUCAAUUAAAUAUUUAAUUUUAAUUAAAAAUAUAUAAUAAAAAAAUAAUUAUUUAUAAUUUAUGAUCAAUUGGAUAAAUUUUAGUUCGAAUUGUGAUUGAUUGAACUCAUUGUUUAGAAUAAAUGACCGGUAUUAGAAUAAUUAUUUAUAAAUUUUCGACCGUGGGAGAGAGCGCAUCCUCUAGAAAAUUCUUUCUAGGGUGCAACCGUGAUUCCCACGUCUAAACGAAAGCUACUUCAUGUUGUUGUUGUUGUUGUUAUUAGUUGGGAUAGAAUGCUAUCAGUAACAAACGAAUUUCGUUGCUAUCAAUUUAUUUUUAAUAAUAAAGUUUAUGAAUUGAUGAUUGGUAUUAUUGGACAUUAUUUAGACUAUAACUUUGUCACUGAUGUUUUUUUCUCCGUUAAUAUUUCGUUAAAUUAUAUACAAAAAAUUCAAAUACUCUAUUUAUGUUUAUCAAAUAUUCACUUUAGUACCACUUAAUUUUAACUUUGUCACUGAUUUAACGAAAAAAAUUAACGAGAUGGAUAAUAAAAAGAGAAAAAUGAAAUCACAUGAUACUAACACGAUACACUUUAAAACACAGGGUACUAAAGUGAGAAAGUGCGAAACCAUAGGGGCUAACUUGAUUUAUUUUAAACCACAGGGUAUUGAAGUAAGAAAUUGUGAAACUAUAGGAGGGUAUU
rnacentral:lncRNA from 1 species